CCUACGGGGGGCAGCAGUGAGGAAUAUUGGUCAAUGGGCGUAAGCCUGAACCAGCCAAGUCGCGUGAGUGAUGAAGGUUCUAUGGAUCGUAAACCUCUUUUAUAAGGGAAUAAAGUGCGGUACGUGUCCCGUUUUGUAUGUACCUUAUGAAUAAGUAUCGGCUAACUCCGUGCCAGCAGCCGCGGUAAUACGGAGGAUCCGAGCGUUAUCCGGAUUUAUUGGGUUUAAGGGUAGCGUAGCUGGGUUGUUAAGUCAGUUGUGAAAGUUUGCGGCUCAACCGUAAAAUUGCAAUUGAUACUGGCAGUCUUGAGUACAGUUGAGGUAGGCGGAAGUCGUGGUGUAGCGGUGAAAUGCUUAGAUAUACGGAGGAACACCAGUGGCGAAGGCGGCCUGCUGGACAUUAACUGACGCUGAGGCGCGAAAGCGUGGGGAGCAAACAGGAUUAGAUACCCUUGUAGUC
rnacentral:rRNA from 1 species